GUCUCAUUAUCGCAUUCCAUCCCAACCACUAUCUGACAAACAUGACAAGCGUGAAUAGCGCAGUCCGGGAGCCACGAAUACGGCCCCUCUCCCAUACCAUACCAUACCAUACGAGCUGGUACUAUAUGGGGGGGGACUCACUCCCGCGACUGCGCUACACAUAACACAUAAUGCAAUGUGUCAAUGCGUCUCUUUUGUGAAUGAUCCUUCCGCAGGUUCACCUACGGAAA
rnacentral:misc_RNA from 1 species